UCUAGCUCAACGGUUAUAGCGCGGCGUUCGCACUGCCGGGGGUUACGGGGUUCGAUUUCCCCUUCCAAGAA